rnacentral:rRNA from 1 species
CCUACGGGAGGCAGCAGUAGGGAAUAUUGGUCAAUGGGCGAAAGCCUGAACCAGCAACGCCGCGUGCGCGAUGAAGGCCUUCGGGUCGUAAAGCGCUUUUGGGAGGGAUGAAAAUGACAGUACCUCCCGAAUAAGGAUCGGCUAACUACGUGCCAGCAGCCGCGGUAAGACGUAGGAUCCAAGCGUUAUCCGGAAUUACUGGGCGUAAAGGGCGUGUAGGAGGUUGGGCAAGUCGGCCAUGAAAGCUCCCGGCUCAACUGGGAGAGGCUGGUCGAUACUGCCUGGCUAGAGGGCAAGAGAGGGAGGUGGAAUUCCCGGUGUAGUGGUGAAAUGCGUAGAUAUCGGGAGGAGCACCAGUGGCGAAGGCGGCCUCCUGGCUUGUACCUGACUCUGAAACGCGAAAGCAUGGGUAGCAAACAGGAUUAGAAACCCUGGUAGUCCAUGCCAUAAACGAUGUCAACUGGGUNUCGGCGAAGUAAAAUUUGUCGGUGCCGAAGCUAACGCGUUAAGUUGACCGCCUGAGGACUACGAUCGCAAGNUAAAACUUAAAUGAAUUGACGGNUGAGAGNGCGAGNGACACGAGGAGAG